rnacentral:rRNA from 1 species
UACAGAGGGUGCAAGCGUUGUUCGGAAUUAUUGGGCGUAAAGCGCGUGUAGGCGGCUUUGCAAGUCGGGUGUGAAAGCCCUCAGCUUAACUGAGGAAGUGCGCCCGAAACUGCAGAGCUUGAAUACCGGAGAGGAUGGCGGAAUUCCCCAAGUAGAGGUGAAAUUCGUAGAUAUGGGGAGGAACACCGGUGGCGAAGGCGGCCAUCUGGGCGGCUAUUGACGCUGAGACGCGAAAGCGUGGGGAGCAAACAGG